rnacentral:rRNA from 1 species
ACCCUCGGGGGUAGAGCACUGGAUGGGUAAUGGGGCCCCACAGGCUUACUGAUCCUAACCAAACUCCGAAUACCGAGGAGUACUAGUCGGCAGACACACGGCGAAUGCUAACGUCCGUCGUGAAGAGGGAAACAACCCUAACCUCCAGCUAAGGCCCCUAAUUCAUGGCUAAGUGGGAAAGCAGGUGAGACGACCAAAACAACCAGGAGGUUGGCUUAGAAGCAGCCAUCCUUUAAAGAUAGCGUAACAGCUCACUGGUCUAAAUAAGUUGUCUUGCGGCGAAGAUGUAACGGGGCUCAAGCCAUGAGCCGAAGCUGAGGAUGCAUUUAUUGCAUGGUAGCAGAGCGUAGUGUGACAUAGUUCCAUGUGUCCUUAUCGUCCCUCGGGACGUAUUGGACACAAGGAGCUUUCUGUGAAGCUGGCGCGUGAGCGAUCCGGUGGAGAGAUCACUAGUGAGAAUGAUGACAUGAGUAGCGACAAAGAGUGUGAGAGACACUCUCGCCGAAAGUCCAAGGG